GCCCAUUCCCCUCAACGUUUGAUCUUGGCCAGUUCCCUUAAACCAAAAUUUUCUUUUUAUCCGCCCAGACCAUUUCUUCUUGACCCAGUCUGCUUAAACCCGACCUGUUCACCUUUUCAUCCUCUUCAACGAGAACAAUACCCAGAAGCUUGCAACAUCCAUCCCAGCGCGUAGGUAACAACACGACAAUCCCAGCAGCAAUCCAAUCAUUUCUGUCGCGUCGGGUACUACUCAUUCCUGCAUGUUUCCCCUUAUGCGCGUGACACAUUCCCUUCCCCCCUUUGUUUAGUUGUUUCCAGCCUCUAGACUGUGUACUCGUACGAACGCUAGCAACACCAGACGCGGAAUCGUCCUUGCGAGCUUGGAGAUGGCGCCAGCGGGGAUCCAAGGACGAUGGAGUCGAUCCCAAUCGUCCAUUCCUAGUUUCUAUCCAUUAAGAUAGAAAAUCGUUUGGGGAAUAUUUGGAUUUUGGGAUUAACUUGAAGUUGAAUUUCAAAGCUAUGGUAAAAAUUGAUUUUGCCCUCGCCUUUCCCCUCUCAAAAUCCAAAAAUCCUAAUAUAUUUCUAUAAGUAUUCUCUUUCUCACUGUUCUUGGGCGGAUUUUUUUAGCGAAAAAAAGAGUUCACAGAGAUAGGAAUUUUUGGAGAGACUUGCUAAAUGCUUUUGAGAUUCUUCUGUUGAAAUAAAGUUCAACGAAAGUUAGGAAGAAAUUUCUUUCAGAUUGAAAUUCCUCGACUAAAGCGGAAAAAAAGAGAAGCUAUAAGAAAUAUGUAACGCAUACUAAGUGUACGAGACAACAAUUUCCAGCAUUUUGAUUUCAUUAUCAUGCAGGGAUUUUCUCGUUUGUUGCUUCCGUUUCAAUUUUCUUAUGGGAAAGGUUGUUUCCCCUGCUCGUUCCAUCCACAGUUCGUUACCAUCAACAAGAUUGACCGAGUUCAUUAUGAACUCAAAUUUUCCCUUGCAUUAUUGAUGAGUCGUAGAGGCUUAACUUCCUUUUGUUCGAGUCAAUCAUUCCCUACAAGGUGAACAUGUUUCAAAAAUGAAGAACUGGAAGCGAGUUGAAGAGUUGAAGAAGUUGGGAUUAAAAGACCUCAACUUUUUUUUCCGUAUAUAUUUUUGUAUUUCAUUUGUAAUGGGCCUACGCCCUUGUUGUCUUUAUUUUUCACCAUUUAUUAGUUAUUAUAUUUAGUCUAGGACAGGUAUAAAGAUAAAUGGGUCAAAGGCCUACAAGCAAGUGGGUCCAAAUUAUGGUCAAGGCGAACAGAAAUGUACCAAGUUUGAUUGAAAUUAUGUAAUGAACGCCAUGAUUUUUAGUGAAGUUUAUUUUUUGGGAUA